GAUGGGAGGCAGAAGUUAAUGAAGAUAGAGACAUCGUGAUUGAAAGUUUCUUCAAUAGCCCCGCUCAGGAGGCCUGGGUCACUUGCUUCCGUCCGGCGUUCAGUAGGCUGCUUAUCUCUUACCAGAAGCAGGGGUAUUUGGUGGCGUGAGCCCCGCCGGUCCCUCCAAUGCCGUCUUGGAAAAAGAAAUCCUGUAGAAGUGACCACUGUGGUGAUGACAGUGAAACUUUCUGGAAGGUUAUCAUCCUGUCCAUUUUAUAGAUGAGCAUUCCUGUGCAUGUGUGGGAGAGCUGAUUGUCAUCCAGGACUUUAUGUCUUUCAACUGGAGUGUUUAGUCAGCUUGCAUUUAAUAUAAAGAAACGGAGCCUCAGAGAUCGAGAAAGUUACCCAUGUUCACAGACCUGGAUGUGUGCUCACAGAGGAAGACCAGGUGAGGACACGGAGAAAUGGCCACCUGUCAGCCAAGGAGAGAGGCUUCUAAAGAAGUCAGACUUGCAGAUGCCUUGAUCUUGGAUUUCCAACCUGCAGAACUCUGCGAAACUGGGAGCUUUUGAACCUCUUCUUGACAGUCAUGUAGCAUCCUGGAUCCUGCCGCCAUGCGGUUUGGUGCACUCAGACCAGGCUGUCCACGGGCGCAUCCUGUAGCCUGGGAACUGCUCGCCAUCAAACUCUUCCCGCAGCUGCUCACUCCUCCGGCUCUCGGGCUUCCCUCCAGCGCAGCUUCUGGAUGGAUGGAUUUUUCAGCAUUUCCAGAUGUGGCACUUUCCCCACGGCACAGGGUGCACCUCCAAACUGAGGCUCCAUUUGGAUUCCUCAGUGUAGGGAGGGAGUAGAGGGGAGGAAGAAGAGAGAAAACAGUGUUGCAAACUUUUUAAAGAAUUCUGGUCAUGAUGGCGAGAAAGAGAUCCUACCAGAACCAGAGGACUUUGGUGUGGAGGCACAUUUAAGAUGAAAGACAGAAGAACGUAUCUGAAUAUCACCGAGUGCCUUGGGGAGCUGAGACAGUUCAGGAGGGAUGGGAGUGGGUCCCAGUGUUUAAAGGAGUGGAAGGUGUGCACUACCUUACAGCAAGACUGGAACUUGUUUAGAUGCUGUGUGGUUGUAAGGGACUGAAGCCCUGGGGUCAGACUGCGUAGAUUUAGCCCCACCUCUGCCAUCUCCCGGCUGUGUGCCUGUCAGCAAGUCACUUAAAUUCCCUAAGCCAGAAUUUCUUCACCUGCAACAAUGGGACUUACCUUGUAAGGCUAUUUGAGAUAUCAAGUUCCAUAAUGUACAUAAAAAUGUUAGCACAAUGCUUGAUAAGGAAUCUUAAAAAAAAAGCUUAAGUAACUUGUCCUGCAUUACAAGUGGCUGAAGUGGGAUCUGAAGUCUGUGCUCUUUGGGCAUUUGCUCCAUGUGUUACAUCACUCUACUUUUGGGGGACCCAGACUCCAACGGGGCCAGUCCCCUCAC